ACUGGGUGUGGUGGCGCACACCUGUAAUCCCAGCGCUCAGGAGGCUGAGGCAGGAGGAUCUCAAAACCAACCUCAG
rnacentral:sRNA from 1 species